UUGGGUUGGGAAUCGUUUCUUUUAGUAAUUUAGUAACAAUGUGGAUUAUCUUAUACAGAACACAUUUUAAAGUCUGCCUUUUGAAUUUGUUUUAGAUCAAACACCUUGGUGCCCACCAGCUGCGGGGUGAGUUAUUGUUAUCAACCAAAUCGCUGGUGAAAAUACUUGACGUGGAGUACUUCUCCAGGAAAAAUGGCUAACUGCUAAUAUUAAGCUAGCUUGUCAGAGAAAUUUUGCUUCCGGUGUGUGUAGCUCGGAGGGGAUGGUACCUCGUCAAGACCAGUUUUUCGUUCAGGAUCUCAACCUGUUUCUGAGAGGAUUACCAACCUAGAAAGCAGCAGGACACAUACUGUAUAACAGAAAGUUGAGGAGAACAGGGCCCGGCAGAGGGCUGGAGUAUCCAAACGAGCUGAGUGCCGACAUGGUCAUGUUAUUCAUGAUGACCUGGUGCAUCUGGGCAUUCUGGAUCAUCAUCAGCUCUACAAGGUUUAAUAGAAGGAGCAGAGCCAGGAGGCAUCAUGGUCGCUGGGAGCUGCUGCAAGAUAGUGGUGGGCUGGUUAGGAGCCUGGGAAGGAGAUAUAAGACUGUAAUGAGGCUCUCUGCCUGGAGGCACAGAGUCUGAGAAUAAACUAUAUUAUAUAUAACCUCUAUACUCGGGGUGAAGCUCUACUCCACAGUAAGGAAAAAGAACAAAGGAUUAUCUUCCCAUAUGCAAACAAUAUUAAAAACAUCACUUCUUGUAAUACUAGAAACAAUUGUAUUAUGACAUAAAGCUCAGUGAUUGGUUUUGUGUUUGAGCUAAACCGAGAGCAGCAGGUUAGUCGUUGCUAAGAUUACAAGCUUUAGCUGACAGCCUAAUGACCUCAU